rnacentral:rRNA from 1 species
CCUACGGGUGGCAGCAGUGGGGAAUAUUGCACAAUGGGGGAAACCCUGAUGCAGCGACGCCGCGUGAGUGAAGAAGUAAUUCGUUACGUAAAGCUCUAUCAGCAGGGAAGAAAUACUGACCUUACGGUCAGCAGACGGUACCUGAGUAAGAAGCCCCGGCUAACUACGUGCCAGCAGCCGCGGUAAUACGUAGGGGGCAAGCGUUAUCCGGAUUUACUGGGUGUAAAGGGAGCGUAGACGGUGCGCCAAGUCUGGAGUGAAAGGCAGGGGCCCAACCCCUGGACUGCUCUGGAAACUGUCCGGCUGGAGUGCAGGAGAGGUAAGUGGAAUUCCUAGUGUAGCGGUGAAAUGCGUAGAUAUUAGGAGGAACACCAGUGGCGAAGGCGGCUUACUGGACUGUAACUGACGUUGAGGCUCGAAAGCGUGGGGAGCAAACAGGAUUAGAUACCCUUGUAGUC